AAUUUUUCGAAGCAUUACUUAUACUGCCAGUGGAAAAAACACAAAAGCUUUUAUUUUUAAGGAGAAAACCAAAUAUGUGAAGAUAAAAUUAGGUCAUCUUGAAUCCUUUUUAAUAUGAGCAGAACCUAUAUAAGCCAUAGUCACUAAGUGAUUACUUUGUAAAUACAUUCUACUCAUGUCAUUUUGGUUUCUUCUUCUCUACUUUUUCCACCGUAGGACACUGGUUUCUUCUUUAGGUUUUAGUCUGUUUACAGACUUGUAAAAGUAUCUCCACAAUGUCAUCAACCCCAAAAGCAGCCUCUUAACAAUCAGCAGUUCCUCCUGCAUCUUGCCUGUGGUAGACAGAUCAAAGAUGUGUGUUAUGACCUCUGGAACCUGUCAGUCAUUUAGGUUAUGUGACCGAGAGAAAAUGAAGGUGGAAUCAAGGUUGCUUAUCACCUUAAGAUCACCCUGGAUUAUCCAGGUGGGCCCAGUGUAGUCAUGAGUGAAAGAUGGAACUGGAAGGAAGAACCGCAGAGAACACAAGGACUGGGCCCCGCAUUGCUGGCUUUGAAACGGGAAUAAGUGGGCCAUGAACCAAGGAAAGUUAGUGGCCUCUAGAAACUAGAAAGGGUGAGGAAACAGGUUCUCCCAAGCUGAAACCAUGGACUUAACUCAGUGAGACUUAAUGUGGAUUUCCUGCCUCCAGAACUAUAGGAAAAUAAAUCUAUAUUGUUUUAAACUACACACACAAGAACCAUCUUUAUUCUAUGAAACACCAGUGGUGGGGAUGGGAUUUUGGAAACAAGACAGGAUAAAUGAAAGAACAAGUUUCCCAAGAAGACCAGACAUCAGAGAAAUGCACCUUGUACAUGGCAAGGGAAUUCCAUCUGCUUCUGAAAGAGGCACCUGCUGCUGGCAUGGCACCACCCUCAGCAGCUGUGGGACAGCAGAGUUGGGAACUGAUGUCAGAGAGGCCUCACAUCUACUGACACAGGCAGGAUGCUCUGUCUUCCACACAAGAGAGGUCAGGAGUUCUGAAAGAGGAGCCUGGGAAUUGGGAGAGGGACUGGAAAGGGGUCCUCUGAUGGACAGAAACAUAAUGCAGGCACUGGACCACCUAGCUGACAGCACCACCUGCUGGUGUUGGAAUUGCAGACAAAACUUUACAGUGACUCCCAUUCUGUCUGGAGCUCCCAUGUCACCUGCUCUCUUAGAUGUUUUUUUUGUGGCAAUAACAAAAACCUCAGGCUUGCUGUUUUAUGAAGAAAGAACUCUUACAGACUGCAAGCUCAAGGUCAGCUGGCACUAUCUGAUCUGGUCAGACUCUGGAGAGGGUCUCGCCGAAGCAUCCCAAAAGAACAGUGGCAUCACAUGGUCAGAGUUCAUGCAGGCAGGAUCACAGGCUGAGAGGGAGAGAAGCCAAGAAGGGUCAACCCUGCCUUUGUAUAACAUCUGCUCUCAGGGGAAUAUAUCCACCACGACAGACCGAACCCACUCUGGGAGGCCAGCAUUGAUCUCUUCACAGGAACAUCAACAGCCAAUGAAAUUUACCUGACAAGAGUCAGCGUGGGAAGAGUGGAUUUACGUGUGAGAAUGUAGAUGAGGAGUUAUUCAAGAAGAUACUUUACUGAUAUGAUCCCAUUUCAGCAAGGUCCUGAUGGCUGAGAUUUGUCACAUGCAGAAGCAAAGGAAUAUAAAGUAGUGUAAAGUGCAUUACAACUAACAGUUAAAAAAUAAAUAAAUAAAUAUGAGUUGUGAUAAACUGUCC
rnacentral:lncRNA from 1 species